rnacentral:rRNA from 1 species
AGGACGAACGCUGGCGGCGUGCUUAACACAUGCAAGUCGAGCGGUAAGGCCUUUCGGGGUACACGAGCGGCGAACGGGUGAGUAACACGUGAGUGAUCUGCCCUGCACUUCGGGAUAAGCCUGGGAAACUGGGUCUAAUACCGGAUAUGACCUCCUAUCGCAUGGUGGGUGGUGGAAAGAUUUAUCGGUGCAGGAUGGGCCCGCGGCCUAUUAGCUUGUUGGUGGGGUAAUGGCCUACCAAGGCGACGACGGGUAGCCGACCUGAGAGGGUGACCGGCCACACUGGGACUGAGACACGGCCCAGACUCCUACGGGAGGCAGCAGUGGGGAAUAUUGCACAAUGGGCGAAAGCCUGAUGCAGCGACGCCGCGUGAGGGAUGACGGCCUUCGGGUUGUAAACCUCUUUCAGCAGGACGAAGCGCAAGUGACGGUACCUGCAGAAGAAGCACCGGCUAACUACGUGCCAGCAGCCGC